rnacentral:rRNA from 1 species
GACAGAGGAUGCAAGCGUUAUCCGGAAUGAUUGGGCGUAAAGCGUCUGUAGGUGGCUUUUUAAGUCCGCCGUCAAAUCCCAGGGCUCAACCCUGGACAGGCGGUGGAAACUACCAAGCUGGAGUACGGUAGGGGCAGAGGGAAUUUCCGGUGGAGCGGUGAAAUGCGUAGAGAUCGGAAGGAACACCAGUGGCGAAGGCGACUUCCUGGACCAUUACUGACACUGAGGCGCGAAAGCGUGGGGAGCGAACAGG